GACGAACGCUGGCGGCGUGCCUAAUACAUGCAAGUUGAGCGCUGAAGGUUGGUACUUGUACCCACUGGAUGAGCAGCGAACGGGUGAGUAACGCGUGGGGAAUCUGCCUUUGAGCAGGGGACAACAUUUGGAAACGAAUGCUAAUACCGCAUAAAAACUUUAAACACAAGUUUUAAGUUUGAAAGAUGCAAUUGCAUCACUCAAAGAUGAUCCCGCGUUGUAUUAGCUAGUUGGUGAGGUAAAGGCUCACCAAGGCGAUGAUACAUAGCCGACCUGAGAGGGUGAUCGGCCACAUUGGGACUGAGACACGGCCCAAACUCCUACGGGAGGCAGCAGUAGGGAAUCUUCGGCAAUGGACGAAAGUCUGACCGAGCAACGCCGCGUGAGUGAAGAAGGUUUUCGGAUCGUAAAACUCUGUUGGUAGAGAAGAACGUUGGUGAGAGUGGAAAGCUCAUCAAGUGACGGUAACUACCCAGAAAGGGACGGCUAACUACGUG
rnacentral:rRNA from 1 species